rnacentral:rRNA from 1 species
UGCAGUCGAGCGGUAACAGGGGAGCUUGCUCCUGCUGACGAGCGGCGGACGGGUGAGUAACGCGUAGGAAUCUGCCUAGUAGAGGGGGACAACAUGUGGAAACGCAUGCUAAUACCGCAUACGCCCUGAGGGGGAAAGGAGGGGAUCACUUGUGACCUUCCGCUAUUAGAUGAGCCUGCGUGAGAUUAGCUAGUUGGUAGGGUAAAGGCCUACCAAGGCGACGAUCUCUAACUGGUCUGAGAGGAUGACCAGUCACACUGGGACUGAGACACGGCCCAGACUCCUACGGGAGGCAGCAGUGGGGAAUAUUGGACAAUGGGCGCAAGCCUGAUCCAGCCAUGCCGCGUGUGUGAAGAAGGCCUUAGGGUUGUAAAGCACUUUCAGGGGUGAGGAAGGGUGAGUCGCUAAUAUCGACUUAUCUUGACGUUAGCCCCAGAAGAAGCACCGGCUAACUCUGUGCCAGCAGCCGCGGUAAUACAGAGGGUGCAAGCGUUAAUCGGAAUUACUGGGCGUAAAGCGCGCGUAGGUGGUUUGUUAAGUCUGAUGUGAAAUCC